rnacentral:rRNA from 1 species
UACGGAGGGUGCAAGCGUUAUCCGGAUUUACUGGGUUUAAAGGGUGCGUAGGUGGAUAAUUAAGUCAGUGGUGAAAUCUUCAGGCUUAACCUGGAAACUGCCAUUGAUACUAUUUGUCUUGAAUACUUUGGAGGUAAGCGGAAUAUGUCAUGUAGCGGUGAAAUGCUUAGAUAUGACAUAGAACACCAAUUGCGAAGGCAGCUUAUUACACAGUAAUUGACACUGAGGCACGAAAGCGUGGGGAUCAAACAGG